rnacentral:rRNA from 1 species
GAUGAACGCUAGCGGCAGGCCUAACACAUGCAAGUCGAGGGGUAGAGGAAGCUUGCUUCCUUGAGACCGGCGCACGGGUGCGUAACGCGUAUGCAAUCUACCUUGUACAGAGGGAUAGCCCAGAGAAAUUUGGAUUAAUACCUCAUAGUAUUAUUGAAUGGCAUCAUUUAAUAAUUAAAGUUCCAACGGUGCAAGAUGAGCAUGCGUCCUAUUAGCUAGUUGGUGUGGUAACGGCAUACCAAGGCUACGAUAGGUAGGGGUCCUGCGAGGGAGAUCCCCCACACUGGUACUGAGACACGGGCCAGACUCCUACGGGAGGCAGCAGUGAGGAAUAUUGGACAAUGGGCGCAAGCCUGAUCCAGCCAUGCCGCGUGCAGGAAGACGCAUCUAUGGUGUGUAAACUGCUUUUGUACGGGAAGAAACACUCCCUCGUGAGGGAGCUUGACGGUACCGUAAGAAUAAGGAUCGGCUAACUCCGUGCCAGCAGCCGCGGUAACAC